AAAUCUGACUGAAUACUUAAAUAUAAGGAAAUAACAUUUAUCUUGCAGUAGCUCAUGAAAGUAUUUGAACAUUAUUUUACAGAAAAAUUCAUUUAAUUCG